ACGCAGGUUUCCUCAACUGACACAACUCGUGCAAACUGUAACCCCGCCUGGUCUUUCCAGGUCUGGAGGGGAAGCUUUUGUACUGUGUUUGGCUCCACGUUCGGUCUACUGGCGAGCGCUAGUAGUGGCAAUGUUGUUUCGUAGCGGAGCAUGUUGGCCGUGGGAAUCCCUCCUUGGCGACAAGGACCCACGGGGCCGCAAGCCACGUCUUUGACCCAACAUGUGUGCAACCCCAGCACGGCAACCUUGCCACGAAAACCACUUCAAGGUAACACUGAUACUGGUACUCAAAUACUGGUGACAGGCUAAGGAUGCCCUUCAGGUACCCCGAGGUAACACGGGACACUUGGGAUCUGAGAAGGGGAUUGGGACUUCUAUAAAAGUGCCCAAUUUAAAAAGCUUCUAUGCCUGAAUAGGUGACCGGAGGCCGGCACCUUUCCUCUACAACUACUUUACC
rnacentral:other from 1 species